GACGAACGCUGGCGGCGUGCUUAACACAUGCAAGUCGAACGGAAAGGCUCCAGCUUGCUGGAGUACUCGAGUGGCGAACGGGUGAGUAACACGUGGGUAAUCUGCCCUGCACUCUGGGAUAAGCCUGGGAAACUGGGUCUAAUACUGGAUAUGACCUUUCUCCUUAUGGGGUUUGGUGGAAAGUUUUUCGGUGUAGGAUGAGCCCGCGGCCUAUCAGCUUGUUGGUGGGGUGAUGGCCUACCAAGGCGACGACGGGUAGCCGGCCUGAGAGGGUGAUCGGACACAUUGGGACUGAGAUACGGCCCAGACUCCUACGGGAGGCAGCAGUGGGGAAUAUUGCACAAUGGGCGGAAGCCUGAUGCAGCGACGCCGCGUGAGGGAUGACGGCCUUCGGGUUGUAAACCUCUUUCAGCAGGGACGAAGCGUAAGUGACGGUACCUGCAGAAGAAGCACGGGCUAACUACGUG
rnacentral:rRNA from 1 species